GCGUCCAUGGUGUAACUGGUAAACACGCCGUCCUUUGAAGUCGGAUAGUCCUCGUUCAAGUCGAGGUGGACGUGCCA
rnacentral:tRNA from 1 species